rnacentral:rRNA from 1 species
UACAGAGGGUGCAAGCGUUAUCCGGAAUCACUGGGUUUAAAGGGUGCGUAGGCGGCUUGGUAAGUCAGAGGUGAAAGCUCACGGCUCAACUGUGGAACUGCCCCUGAUACUGCCAGGCUUGAAUGGGCGCGAGGCAGGCGGAAUGUGGCAUGUAGCGGUGAAAUGCUUAGAUAUGCCAUAGAACACCGAUUGCGAAGGCAGCCUGCCAGAGCUCUAUUGACGCUGAGGCACGAAAGCCAGGGGAGCAAACGGG